CUCUCUGCAUUUACAUGCAGGCUCCAUACUCAGCCUUGAAUCCUACCUGGAUUCCAAACAUUUCCAAAUGGCUCUUCCCGCAAAUGGUGGGUAACUUGGGAAUUCACUCUCCUUCUGGCACCAGCAAAAGAUCAAAGAUCUCUGUCUCCUGCAGUAACCACUGGCACUCAAGUUCAGAGACGAAGAGUACCGUUUCUUCUGGACAUUUAACUAUAGUAAGUUUGUAAAACAUAUGGUUGUGGAAAUAGAAGCAUCUU